rnacentral:rRNA from 1 species
UACGUAGGGACCGAGCGUUGUCCGGAAUCAUUGGGCGUAAAGAGCGUGUAGGCGGCCUUUUAAGUCCUGCGUGAAAUCCUGCGGCUCAACCGCAGACGGUCGUGGGAAACUGGAAGGCUAGAGUGCGGGAGAGGAGAGUGGAAUUCCCGGUGUAGCGGUGAAAUGCGCAGAUAUCGGGAAGAACACCCGUGGCGAAGGCGGGUUGCUGGGCUGAUACUGACGCUGAGGCACGAAGGUCAGGGGAGCAAACGGG